GUCCCUCACUUAAAACCUUCCUUUUUGACUUUUUUGGAAAGGAAAGAAAAAGGUGCAGUGGUCUUUUAAUUGUUCACGGAGCUGUAUUUCUAGUGUACGGUAUUUGGAGCAUUUGUAUGUUAAAAAAGCGUUAGUAAUUUCCUUAAGCAAAAACAGCCAUCUAUUUGCCCACAUAGGCCUGAUAUGUGCAGUGAGACCUAGCACCCUUCCUUCACAGGGACCUAGUGGAUGAGGACUCUGGCAGCUACAGUAGUGACAGUGCCUUUUAAAUCCAGACUACAGUCAACGAUUACCUUCUACAUAUUUAUGGAGAAUGUUAUCCUUGUAAUGAUCUUGAUGCAUGUCCAAGGAUGAGAGGAUGAUGGAGAUGGAGGUUGCUCUGCUAUAACCCUGGAUGAGAGGAUGAUGGAGAUGGAGGUUGCUCUGCUAUAACCUUGGAUGAGAGGAUGAUGGAGAUGGAGGUUGAUCUGCUAUAACCCUGGAUGAAAGGAUGAUGGAGAUGGAGGUUGCUCUGCUAUAACCCUGGAUGAGAGGAUGAUGGAGAUGGAGGUUACUCUGCUCUUACCCUGGAUGAGAGGGUGCAAUGACAGCUUCAAAGACUUAACCUAAGGAGUAAUCCACAUGAAUCAUCUACCACUGCUUCUGCUGCCCAGAUUAUGGUAUGAUUAGAACCUGUGAUAAAGAUUAGCAAAAAUGACUAUUAAACAAUAAAAAUCUCCUGGUACUUGGACAAUUGGGAA
rnacentral:lncRNA from 1 species